GACACUGUCCUUCAUGGCUGGUGGAUGGUACUGGAGACUGUGAAGGAUGUACUAGCUUGAAAUAAUCUGUCCAUACACUUUGAGAUCCUUAAGUGUCUUGAAGUAUGGGAGCAUAGCAGAGGAGGAGGAGAGGAUGACCCCCAGCAGGAGGAUGAGCUGGACUUCUAUCCUGGUUUUCCAGAAAGCAAGGACCUAAUAUGAAUUAUCUGGACAGUGCAGAGGAAACAUUAAAUGUAAAUUGCCAAUUCUGCAGUCCCAUAAA